rnacentral:rRNA from 1 species
GUGCCAGCCGCCGCGCGGUAAUACCCGCAGCUCAAGUGGUGGUCGCUUUUAUUGAGCCUAAAACGUUCGUAGUCGGCCUUGUAAAUCCCUGGGUAAAUCGGGGCGCUUAACGUUUCGAAUUCCGGGGAGACUGUAAGGCUAGGGACCGGGCGAGGUCAGAGGUACUUUCGGGGUAGGAGUGAAAUCCUGUAAUCCCGAAGGGACCACCUGUGGCGAAAGCGUCUGACUUGAACGGCUCCGACGAUGAGGUACGAAGGCUAGGGGAGCAAACCGGAUUAGAUACCCGGGUAGUCCUAGCUGUAAACUCUGCCCGCUUGGUGUGGCCUGUACUUCGGGUGCAGGCUGUGCCGGAGCGAAGGUGUUAAGCGGGCUGCUUGGGGAGUACGGCCGCAAGGUUGAAACUUAAAGGAAUUGGCGGGGGAGCACCGCAACGGGAGGAUGCGUGCGGUUUAAUUGGAUUCAACGCCGGAAAACUCACCUGAGGCGACCAGCGUAUGUGUGUCAGGCUGAAGACCUUACUCGAACAAAAGCUGGAGAGGUGGUGCAUGGCCAUCGUCAGCUCGUACCGUAGGGCAUUCACUUAAGUGUGAUAACGAGCGAGACCCCCAUCCCUAGUUGCUAACUUUUCCGAAAGGAAGGGUGCACUCUAGGGAGACCGCUUCUGCUAAAGAAGAGGAAGGAGGGGUCGACGGUAGGUCAGUAUGCCCCGAAUCCUCAGGGCUACACGCGCGCUACAAA